GCAAUGCUUAGGAAGUUUCAGAGUCACGUGGGGGACCCUGCCUGAGGUCAGAGUCCUGAGGAGCCCUUUCUCAGUGUGGGUCAUUUUCUGUUUGAUUUUGAAUUCGUCCACGCUGUGAUGGACAGCUAUUUUUUGAACACUACUACGUGCCAGCUACUGUCCUGGGUGCUAGAGAUACCUCAGUGAACAACACAGACACGUGCGGUGCCCUAGCACACUUCGGGGGCAGAUGCUGCUUCAUUAAAGGUCUGGCUGCCGCCACGGCACUUGCCUCAGCCCCGGCCUCGGCUUGCCAGGGCUCCAGGCCAACCCAGCCUUCCAGCUGCCCCUCAGCUGUUCACUCCAACUGUCCAGCUCCAACCGACUCAGAACCUUCUGGUCCCAAACAUUCUCUCACACCCAACCCACACCAAGGAACAAAUGCAGAAGCUUCUGCUGGGUUCAACUAACACUGAAUGGGAGGAAGGGGGAAAGGAGAACAAAUACAUGAUCAAUUCUCCUUAGAACAAGCACUUUCCUAUACUUCAUAGGUCAUGGCCAAGCCAACUAUGGGGAAGCAAGAGAGAAGGAGAAGGACGCCUCAGUGAAAGCUUGGUGAGUUCCUCUGGAGUCACAGUUUGGGUUUCUUCCUCAGCAGGGGGUGCCCACGGUCUAAGUGUUUCCAGAAAUCUUACGUCCAGGGGUCUGAACGCAUAUUUAACCUACUGAAAGACACAAGCAUCCCCCCUCUGGCAGAAUGUGACCUUCUUAAGAGAAUCAAAGACAGCAGGCAUCAGAAGCCUCAGGCUCUAGAGGAGAAGCUGUUGGGCAAGUAGAUCAAUGAGCAACUGCCUUCACCAUCAGGGAUAAAAGUUGGAGGUCGAGAACACCUUUCCUUGUCCUGCAGAGGUUGGGAGAUGAGCCUUAUAAAUGGAGGAAAACCAAGUGCCCUGGUCCGGGAAGAUCCCACAUGCCGCGGAGCAACUAAGCCUGAUUUAAAGAAAGGAUUGCUGUCUCCCAAAUUCCCCCAGAACCAUAGAAAAUUCUGCCAGAUUCAUUUGACCCAACUCUUCUCAUGGAGAGUUAAGGGUUUGAGAUUUGUUACACAGCCUGCAGGGUUUGGGAUAACCAGAAGAUAAAAGGACUUUGGAGAGAGGGAGCCCAGAGUGAAGGGAGAUGUAGAGAUGUUACAGCGAGAUCAAAGGCUAAAAGAUGGCAAAUGUCCAAAGGAAGAGAGGUGGUGAAGACAUUUCAGGAAGGGCAGUGGAGACUUUUCCUCUGAGAAGGGCAGUGCAGUCAAGUGGAAAACACCUGGGCUGGGACACAAGCGACCCUGAACCCCUCCAGCGCUGCUGCCAGCUCUCCCUGGAGAAUGUUCCGUGAAUGAAUAGUGUGUGAAAGAACAGCUAACCCUGGAAAGGGGGAGCUAAAGAGCAAGAAUUGUCCCACACCGCCACCCCACCCCGUGCACCAGUUGUGGGACCACCACACAGAGCUCUGCCUGUGAUUAGCUGUUCUCACGUAGACUCUGCUGCUAGAAGAUGUACUGACCAGCUGAGACAAAUAUCUGACCCACUUGGCAAUCGUGUUUCUCACAGUAAAUGAAUACAUUGGCACUCCAGUUUAUGCACCCGUGGGGAUGCUUGACCUGCACAUGUUAAGGCAAAGACCCCAGACACGGGCAAUCAAAAUAAGGUGUGGCCUCUCAAAGGGACCCUGCCAGAAAACGAUCAACUGGCUUCCCUAGUGAAUGACUAUUCCUCAUGGCCACAACUGUGAGAACAAUCUCCUCUUAGGUCAAAAGUAGACAGAAGGGCUUCCCUGGUGGCGCAGUGGUUAAGAAUCCGCCUGCCAAUGCAGGGGACACGGGUUCGAGCCCUGGUCCGGGAAGAUCCCACAUGCCGUGGAGCAACUAAGCCUGUGCACCACAACUACUGAGCCCACGUGCCACAACUACUGAAGCCCGCGCGCCUAGAGCCCGUGCUCCACAACAAGAGAAUCCACCGCAAUGAGAAGCCCGUGCACUGCAACGAAGAGUAGCCGCUGUUCGCGGCAACAAAGACCCAACGCAGCCAAAAAUAAAUAAAUAAAUUUAUUAAAAAAAAAAAAAAAGUAGACAGAAGAGGAAAAACCAAGUUCGUGUUCCUCAGAAAUAAGGAACGGCCCAGAAGAACUUGAAAAUAGUGGAAGAGGCAGAGAAGGCCAGCCCUCCGACGGGACAGCUCACCCCUACAACAGAGGAGCCUGGUCCAGGAAAACUUUGCCUGACUUUCACCCCGCUCUUCAAACUGCUUUUCUUCCCUCCCUGUUACACUGCCACUUAAAUAUACUAUAUUUUGGUCUGUAUGUGCUUAAAAAGAAAAUAGACAAUAGAGUUAAAAAAUAUAUAUGAUGAAGAAGAGAGUUGAACAGAUUUCUCAUCCAGUGUUCUUAAUCCAAAUAUUAAGUAAAGACAAUCCAAAGUCAAAACAUGA